rnacentral:rRNA from 1 species
GAUGAACGCUGGCGGCGUGCCUAAUACAUGCAAGUCGAGCGAACGGACGAGAAGCUUGCUUCUCUGAUGUUAGCGGCGGACGGGUGAGUAACACGUGGAUAACCUACCUAUAAGACUGGGAUAACUUCGGGAAACCGGAGCUAAUACCGGAUGAUAUUUUGAACCGCAUGGUUCAAAAGUGAAAGACGGUCUUGCUGUCACUUAUAGAUGGAUCCGCGCUGCAUUAGCUAGUUGGUAAGGUAACGGCUUACCAAGGCAACGAUGCAUAGCCGACCUGAGAGGGGGAUCGGCCACACUGGAACUGAGACACGGUCCAGACGCCUAAGGGAGGCAGCAGUAGGGAAUCUUCCGCAAUGGGCGAAAGCCUGACGGAGCAACGCCGCGUGAGUGAUGAAGGUCUUCGGAUCGUAAAACUCUGUUAUUAGGGAAGAACAUAUGUGUAAGUAACUGUGCACAUCUUGACGGUACCUAAUCAGAAAGCCACGGCUAACUACGUG